CACGUAGGGCGCAAGCGUUGUCCGGAAUUAUUGGGCGUAAAGGGCUCGUAGGCGGUCUGUCACGUCGGGAGUGAAAACUCAGGGCUUAACCCUGAGCCUGCUUCCGAUACGGGCAGACUAGAGGUAUGCAGGGGAGAACGGAAUUCCUGGUGUAGCGGUGAAAUGCGCAGAUAUCAGGAGGAACACCGGUGGCGAAGGCGGUUCUCUGGGCAUUACCUGACGCUGAGGAGCGAAAGUGUGGGGAGCGAACAGG
rnacentral:rRNA from 1 species